GGACUCGCGCGCUGGGUCCAGUGGUUCUUAACAGUUCAACAGUUCUGUAGCGCAAUUGUGAAAUGUUUAGGACCACUAGACCCGGCGGGC
rnacentral:pre_miRNA from 1 species